GGAGAUUUUUUCCACAGAUCGACCUCAAGUGUUUCCGACUGACAAGCUCGGGAAGAAAGAGGUGAGGCAGAGACUCUCCCUGGAGUUUAAGCAUGCGAUGAGCACGAACGCUGGAUUCGGAUCAGUGAGCUGAGAGAAGGGCAGCAUCACACGUGGCCGCGGAGGAGUCCCUGUGGGUGGUGGACCUGGGAAGUGCUGUGAGCCCUGCUCAUUCUAGAAGACUCUCAAAAGAUUUUUCUCCCUUGCUGGCUUUGAUGAAGUAAGCUGUUGUAUGGAGAGUCCCAAGUGGAAGGAAUUAAGUGACCUCUUGCCCACAGUCAACAAGGAACUGAGUCCUAGAAACAGCCACGUGAACUUGGAAACGGAUCCUACCCCA